rnacentral:misc_RNA from 1 species
GAUCAUUACCGAGUGCGGGUCCUUUGGGCCCAACCUCCCAUCCGUGUCUAUUGUACCCUGUUGCUUCGGCGGGCCCGCCGCUUGUCGGCCGCCGGGGGGGCGCCUCUGCCCCCCGGGCCCGUGCCCGCCGGAGACCCCAACACGAACACUGUCUGAAAGCGUGCAGUCUGAGUUGAUUGAAUGCAAUCAGUUAAAACUUUCAACAAUGGAUCUCUUGGUUCCGGCAUCGAUGAAGAACGCAGCGAAAUGCGAUAACUAAUGUGAAUUGCAGAAUUCAGUGAAUCAUCGAGUCUUUGAACGCACAUUGCGCCCCCUGGUAUUCCGGGGGGCAUGCCUGUCCGAGCGUCAUUGCUGCCCUCAAGCCCGGCUUGUGUGUUGGGUCGCCGUCCCCCUCUCCGGGGGGACGGGCCCGAAAGGCAGCGGCGGCACCGCGUCCGAUCCUCGAGCGUAUGGGGCUUUGUCACAUGCUCUGUAGGAUUGGCCGGCGCCUGCCGACGUUUUCCAACCAUUCUUUCCAGGUUGACCUCGGAUCAGGUAGGGAUACCCGCUGAACUUAAG